rnacentral:sRNA from 1 species
UUUUAGCCCUGAUGGAAGUGGCAUCCUUUUGUGCCGGAGUUCGGCAUAAAAGAUACAACGGACAGCAGGAUUAGCU